rnacentral:piRNA from 1 species
UAGGACCAGGCCCCUCCAGCUACUAGC